GCAAGUGUGACGUCACGGAUCCAAAUCCCCAGCUCCCAAUGUAUACUGUAAUGAUAACAGCCAAUGUUCACGGUUGGAUUGUAAAACGCCUGCUAAGGUUACGAAGACACGGAACACAUCGUUGAAAAGACGAAACCACGCGGAUUCAUCUGCAUUUUAAAGUGCAUGUAGAGGAUCAGGAGGUGACGGACAGCAGGUGUACAUGUGCUGUUGGUCUAGCCAAGUGCCACCACAUUGCAGCCCUCCUCAUUUGGGCGGAGAAGAACAUGACCCGGACGGAUGUGGAGUGUGUGUGGAGAAGGCCUACAGCACCCAAAACAGAGGACGUUGUGGCCAAGAGGCUGUCUGUGAUGGCACCUUCGACAUCAAAAGCUGGAAUUAAGCGCCCAGUGACCGAAGAAGACAAAGGCUGGACAAGGCAGUCUUUGGCGCAAUUUGGGCGUUUCACAGGUCUGGGCUUUAUUUUAGCCCCAG